GACGAACCGUGCAACCGUUGUUCGGAAUCACUGGGCUUAAAGGGCGCGUAGGCGGGCCAGCCAGUCUGUGGUGAAAGCCUCCAGCUUAACUGGAGAAGUGCCGUGGAUACUGCUGGCCUCGAGGAGGAUAGGGGCAUCUGGAACGGUCGGUGGAGCGGUGAAAUGCGUUGAUAUCGACCGGAACUCCGGUGGCGAAGGCGAGGUGCUGGGUCCUUUCUGACGCUGAUGCGCGAAAGCCAGGGGAGCAAACGGG
rnacentral:rRNA from 1 species